CAAUAGCGUAUAUUAAAGUUGUUGCAGUUAAAAAGCUCGUAGUUGGAUUUCUGGUGGGAGCGAUCGGUCUGGCGCUUAGCGCGAGUACUUGCAUCGUCUCCGGCCAUCCUUGGGGAGAGUCUGUCUGGCAUUAAGUUGUCGGGCAGAGGAUCCUCAUCGUUUACUGUGAAAAAAUUAGAGAGUUCAAAGCAGGCUUAUGCCGUUGAAUAUAUUAGCAUGGAAUAAUAAGAUAGGACUUUGGUACUAUUUUGUUGGUUUGCGCACCAAAGUAAUGAUUAAUAGGGACAGUUGGGGGUAUUCGUAUUCCGUUGUCAGAGGUGAAAUUCUUGGAUUUACGGAAGACGAACUACUGCGAAAGCAUUUACCAAGGAUGUUUUCAUUAA
rnacentral:rRNA from 1 species